CAAGACCUCGAAUUAAAGUCUACCAACCACAGUACCCACUCUUCUCCUCGAUUUGCUCUUGCAAUUACAGCUAGGAAAACUGUUUCGGCACUUUGGCAAAAUGAGACUGUACCUGCAUCAACAGAAGUUGGAAAACAAUCUACAAAGGUAGAGCCUGUACAGGAAGAAUUUAGUACAUCGGUUGCUUCUCUACCUUGUCAUAGGACAGGUGAUAAAAUAUUAGAGCAGGGUACAAAUAUCUCUGACUCCUUUAAGCCAGUUACACCAGAAAUGGAUGGUGAUAAGAAUAUUUCUGCACCAAGUAAGUCAACAAACAAAGCAGCACUGAAGUUGAGACGGAAAGGCAAGUUUCAAACUGUUCCUUCUUCAUCUGGUAUAAUAAGCAGCAAUAAGUUAGGGAAGUCAACAAAAAAUGCUCCACGAGCAUUCAAGCCGGUCGUUAGGGGUAAGAAUUGUGUUAAGAAGAAAACAAAGCCGGUUUCAACUUCAGUUCCUGACACUUCUAUUGCACAUAAUGAUGUCAAUUAUGAUUUUGAUCCCAGUACAAGCAAAUUGAUAUGCAAAAAAUGCCAAUGUUCACUGAAAGAUGAAAAAGAGAUCGAUAAAGCCUCUCCAGCACCUCCUUCUCCAGGUGUCGGUCCUGGAAGCAGCUCAAUUAUCAGGAACAAUGCUUCAAGCAAACCAAGCUCCAUUUUGAAUGGCUGUUCUGUUGUUGCAAAAACUAACAAGUACCCAAAAUCUGGAGAAAAGGGGGAACUCUCACAGAGCUCGAUGAGUAGCAUCGGUGAGUUCAGUAGUAGCACUAGCCUUAGUGAGGAGAGCAAUCUCAGUGGAUCUAGUUUCGGCAACAGACCUCACAUGUCAAAGGAUUUGAGGUGGGAGGCCAUCCAGCAUGUUACGAAGCAGUAUGGAUUUCUAGGAUUGGGACAUUUCAAUUUAUUGAAGAAGCUUGGAGGUGGAGAUAUCGGUACAGUAUAUCUUGCUGAACUAAUGGGGACAAACUGCCUAUUUGCAAUAAAGGUCAUGGACAAUGAGUUUUUGGCGAAAAGGAAGAAGACGCCAAGGGCUCAAACUGAGAGAGAAAUACUGAGAAUUCUGGAUCAUCCUUUUCUUCCUACGCUAUAUGCCCAGUUCGUUUCGGAUAACCUGUCAUGUUUAGUCAUGGAGUAUUGUCCUGGUGGAGAUCUGCAUGUCCUCCGCCAAAAGCAGCCUUGCAGAUAUUUUGCGGAACAAGCGGCAAGGUAUGAAACUCUUUUAAGGGUUUAUCUAUACCACAUUUUCUCAUGUUAUUUCAGCUUAUUUGUUGAAGACCUUUAAAAAAAUAGAAAAUAGACAAAAGUACACAAGAAGAAAAGUAACUGAAAUACAAAUUUUGCAUGUCAUUUGAAUGCAAUACAUCUGUCGGUCUAUGACUGUGUAUGGUUCAGGAUUGAACUACAAGAAUUUAUUUCACCUUUUUAUUCUUUAUGGCUCCUCUGGGAUUUGUGAGAUCUUUUGUAAAUAAUAUUUCUCAUAUUUUCAAUCUUGUUGGUCUUAUUGUUGUUUAGUUUUGGAGGUGAAAUAAUUUCAUCACUUUAGCAUGAGUGCUGUUCUUUCUUCUUGGUUCCAUAGUUAAAAGGGGUCUUGAAUCAUGAUCUAGGAAAUUUGGUGUAAAGGAACUCAUUCUAUCUAUCAAUUUUUAGUCGUUAAUCCCUUUAUUUUUUAUGCAACCUUCAAACUAAUUACUCCAUAUGCAGAUUCUACGUUGCUGAAGUCCUCCUUGCCCUCGAAUACUUGCAUAUGCUUGGUAUUGUAUAUCGAGAUCUGAAACCAGAAAACAUUCUGGUCCGAGAAGAUGGUCAUAUCAUGCUUACGGAUUUUGACCUUUCUCUUAGAUGUUCUGUAAACCCAAUGCUCCUGAAAUCAUCUUCUUUGGUUAUGGAGCCUCCACGGAUGUCGGGUCCAUGUGCCGGAUCCAAGUGUAUAGAUCCUUUCUGCAUGAAGCCCUCCUGUCAAGUCUCAUGCUUCAGCCCUAGGCUUUUGCCUGUUUCUGCGAAAACGAGGAAGACAAAAGCCGAUCUUGCAACCCAGAUGAGAUCAUUGCCACUGCUUGUGGCGGAACCGAAAGAUGCACGAUCCAACUCCUUUGUUGGUACCCAUGAGUAUCUCGCGCCUGAGAUCAUCAAAGGAGAGGGACAUGGAAGUGCUGUUGAUUGGUGGACAUUUGGUGUAUUUCUGUACGAGCUUCUGUAUGGGAAGACACCCUUUAAAGGUUUAGGAAAUGAAGAAACGUUAGCGAAUGUGGUCCUGCAGAGCCUUAAAUUUCCAGACACCCCACUUGUGAGUUUUCAGGCAAGGGAUCUCAUCAGAGGGCUGUUAGUGAAGGAACCCGAAAACCGGUUGGGAUCGGAGAGAGGAGCUGCCGAGAUCAAGCAGCACUCUUUCUUUGAAGGCCUUAAUUGGGCACUGAUACGUUGUGCAGUUCCGCCCCAAAUACCCGAGCCUUGUGAUAUUUUAGCUCCAAAACACGAGAAGGGGACCAAGUAUCUAGAAUAUGGUGCUACAGGCGAGCACUUGGAAUUUGAGUUGUUCUAGCAAAAACAUCAUUUAGGCUUGUGCCUAUAAAUGUAAAUUCGGUUGAGAAUAUGAAAAAUUUGUAGUUUAUCAUAUAUUGAAAUCAAAGUGUUCCACUUGAGUCAUGACCCUACCCUCCUCCAUCAUUUGGAUAGAAAUGUUUUUGAAUUUGGUUGAUGAAGUUGACACAUUGAUCCUAAAAUUCAAAUUCAGUGCAACUCUGAGUUCUGUUGGUGGCCUGGCCUCCUGUCUUCGAGUGUUGCUACUUGCUAGAUGGAGUACUACUUUAUGUCGAUAUUAAAUAAUAGGGAAUUAUUAAAUUCACAACAGAAAUUGUUAUUUUUACAACAAAAGUGUUGUUAUAGAUCCUAUAGCAACGGUUUUCACCGUCGCUAUAUAUCUAUAGCGACACUUUUGUUGUGAAAAUAACAAAAAGUGUUGUAGAUUUAACAAUUACCUAAAUAAUAAUGUAGUAUAUGUGGAUACAUGAGAUGAGAUGAGAUGAGAUGAAAAUAAAUAAUACACACUAAAAUAAAACUCAAUUUCGACAAGCUAAAAGUCUACCCCAGAACUACAAAUCUAAUGAUAACGACGCUCUAAUGAUUAUUUUAUCCCUCUACUUAUGUCAAUAAAACAAAAGAAAAACAAGAAGGUUAUUUUAUUCCAAAUACUAUUAAACCUAUUUAUUUUUAUUUUAUGUAUUAAUUGUUAUAUUAUUAUUUUUUAAAUAAAAAAAACUAUAAACCUUAAGCCAUCGAAUGAAGGAGUAAUUAAAAAUUAUGAGAACAUGAAAAUUAGACACAAUAUAUUUAAAUUUUAUUUAAUUAUAUUUUAAUAAUGUAUAAAAAUAUAAAUAAAUAAAAUUUAAAUACAAAUUUUCAUAUCUAGCAAGAAAAUGUCACUAAUAAAAUGCUUUAACGUAGGACCCACUACCGUACAUAACGAUGCGGGUCCUGUUCCGCAAAUACAAACGAAAUACUACUACAGAAGAAUUGAAAGAUAGAGAAACAGUGGGUGCGCAGUGCGCGCAUCUAUAGGGAGCUCUCUUCCAUCUCUCCACCGAUACUCUUGACAAAGCUGAGCUAGGGUUUCGCAACCAUAUAUUCUUCCAAUUUCUAUUUUUCCCGUUCAUUGGAUAGACUUUCAGAUCUCUGAAGUGCAAGUAUUUAUACUAUAUCUAAUCUCAUUGUAUUUACUUUACUGUUCAUGCUCAUUUCUGCUGAAGCUUGGCUACUGUUCAACUUACGGCCUCAUUUUUGAUUUUAUUGAGUUUAAUUCAAGUUUUACGAUUAGUGAAUGAUCUGGGUUGUGCAUAAAUUAAUCUGUAAAUUUAUGUCUACAUUGUUGUGAUUUGAGAAUCUCCAUGAUAUGAUACUCAUUUAUCAUCAGAUUGUUAUUUUCUCCGCUAAGGAAAUUAAAACAACCCUUUUGGGUGCCUAGAGAAAACUGACAAAAAAGAUAACAAAGUACAGGCUUUUGUUUUUCAUUUUUCUUUUUCUCGAGUUGAACUUCGUUCUUGUGUCCAUUUGAUAUCUCCAUAAAAUUGAAAGAUGAAAGAAAGAUCAGAAAUUUUAAAUCUUUCUUUAAUUUCUAGGUGACUAACCAAGAAUGAUUUACAGUGUAUUUUUUCUUCCAUUUUCAAUACCUUGAAGGUAAUUGUAGUUUGUACUCGGUGAAUUAUGAUUGAGAGAUGCAUUCAUUUGUGGAUCUGAUAUCAUGUUGUGUUUUUGGUUGAAUUGAUCAAUAAGGAUUUAGGAGAGAAUAAGAGAAAGAUUAAAUCACUUUGCAGUACAUGCUGUCUAAUUUACUCUGAAUCUGUAAUUCACUAAUUUGUAGCCUUGAAAUGAUAGAUUUCGAAAUGAAUAAUACACAUUACCAGGAUAUACAUCUUUUUGAUAGCUGUGAAUUUUAAUGAAAAUAUCCUAAAUUGAAUUCCAAAUAAUAGAUUUUAAUAUAUUUGGGCAGAUACUUAAAAUGUCUUCUCAAUUAAUUGUCCAAUUUUCAAAUCAUGACAUCGUAACAAUGAAAUCCGGCAUGAAUACAAUAAGUUUGUUUUACCGUUCAUCCUUGUGACUGUAAUCUUUUAGAGUUUCUUAGGAGGUUGCUGAAGCUUAUAUAUUUUUUUAUAUAUUUGUUAUGCUAUUAUUGUUUCAAGUUUCUUAUUAAUCAAUAUUGAUUAAGUGGGCAACUGAAGGUGUAUCUGAUGUUUGGUGUUCAUUUCAGGUAUAGAUGACAUGCCUUUGGAAUUAAUUUAAGAGACUGAAAGAGUAGAUUGAAUAUAAGCUGUUUGGUUUCUGUAUGCAUCACGUACAGGAUAGCCCUAGAGUGUAUGUCUAUGUAUUCAUAUCAUUGAAUCCUUAAGCCUUAUGUGAAAGAAAUAACAAAAUCUUCUGGUGAAGUUUGUUUUAAAAUUUUACCGAAUCCAUGUAAUUUAUCGUAGCUCGUGCUAACCUCACAACAAUGGGCUCAUUAUCUGGUACUUGUGAGAUUGUUGAAGUAAAGGAAGAGCACAGUUCCAGUCAGAAUGUUCAAGGUAUUCAUCUAUCAAAUGGACAUGGCAAAGAGUGGAAACCUCCAGUGCUGAAACAAGGACGAAUUAGUUCUUUAAAAGAUGACAUCAAUAAGCUCUUUGAAGCAAAUAGUAUCAAAACUUCAUCCAAGGGUCCGACUCAGUUCAAUCAAGUAGUAGGUUCAGCCCUACCAAGUAAAAAGGACUCAAAAAAACCUAUGCGAGUGAGUACAUCUCCAUCAGGAAUUGGGUUUUCUGAGCCAGUAUCUCUAAAGCAGGCGUUAAGGGGUCUAUGCAUUUCUCAGGCAUCAGAAAUGGCUGCCAUGAAACGGUUAUCAAAGCCGCCAGGGUCUCCUGCAAUCUCAGAAACUGGAAACUUAACAAAUCUGUAUAGGUCUGUUGUAGUUGAAGCUGGUGAAUCGGGUCUUCCCAUAGCUGAAGGUAAAAUGGGGAGAGUUGAAAUAUCUCUAGUUCCAGAAGUAAACACAUCAAGUUCAUUAGAGAAGGUGACUCAGUACCUUCAAGACCUCAUAUUAAAGUCUACCAACCACAGUGCCCACUCUUCUCCUCGAUUUGCUCUUGCAAUAACAGCUAAGGAAACUAUUUCAGCACUUUGGCUAAAUGAGUCUGUACCUGCAUCAACAGAAGUUGGAAAACAAUCUACAAAGGUAGAACCUGUACAGGAAGAAUUUAGUACAUCGGUUGCUUCUCUACCUUGUCAUAGGACAGGUGAUAAAAUAUUAGAGCAGGGUAGAAAUAUCUCUGCCUCUGUUAAGCCAGUUAUACCGGAAAUGGAUGGUGAUAAGAAU
rnacentral:lncRNA from 1 species